AGUGUUUGUUUUGGCGAGUUCGAAGGUAUUUUAGCAUGUGUAAUGGUAUGAAUGUGUUGAAUUAGUAAUCCCUUGUGUUAAGACGUUGUUUUAGUGUUCUUUUGAUUAGUUUGGCUUGUUGUUAUUGAAAAGUGUUUGUUUUGUCGAGUUUGAACGUUUUUGAGCAUGUGUAAUGGCAUGAAUGUUUUGAAUUAGUAAUCCCUUGUGUUAAGCUGUUGUUUUAGUGUUCUUUUGAUGAGUUUGACUUGUUG